AUGUCUUCCUCCUCCUCCUCCGGCGCUUCCCAGCCUACCCUCAAUGGGCAGGUCACCGAGAAGCUAACACGCACGAACUAUGUGCUCUGGCGCACGCAGGUCACUCCCCAUCUGCGCGGCGCCGGUGUCUUCGGCUACAUCGACGGCACCACAUCGGAGCCGGCCAGGCUUCCUGUCACCAAGGACAAGGAUGGCAAAGAAAGCGCUGAGCCCAACACUCUCCACCCAAUCUGGGUCUGGGAGGAUCAACAGGUGUUGGGCUACUUGCUCAGCACCCUCUCCAAGGAGGUACUCAUCGCGGUGACCACGGUCACCACAGCGCACGCGCUCUGGACAGCAUUGGCAGGUAUGUUUUCCUCGCAGUCCAUGAGCCGUGUGAACAACAUCAGGACGGCGCUCAUCAAC
rnacentral:rRNA from 1 species